ensembl:lncRNA
UGACCAUUUUUUUCAGACAGUUCUGCAUUGGUGGUUCAGUGGUAGAAUUCUCGCCUGCCACGCGGGAGGCCCGGGUUCGAUUCCCGGCCAAUGCAAUCUAGAUAUUUUAUCUAGAUUAGAAUCAAGUUUUAUGGUAAGCAAGCUGAAGAUUACUUCAGUUGUCAUGCGUAUUGAUCACUUUGACAUAUAUGACAAUAGACAUAUGGAAAUGCACAGAGUAGAUCAAAUUCUUUUUUUUUUUUUUUUUUUUUUUUAAGUAAGCAUAGAAUGCACAGGAAUCUUUCAGCUGAGAUUUGAUUCUUGGCCGAAGGAAUGUAAAUCCUUUUUUUCACCAAUAUAGUUUUAAUUAGAAGCGGUCUGAUUCUCUGAUUUAAUUGUGUAAUAAUCAAUCUAAUUUGACAGUGAAUCUCCGUCUGUGGUUCAAUAUGUUAUGGAAACACUUGCCCAUGCUUGUAUCGCUACUCCUCUGGAUUACUGUAAUUGUAAAUAAGAGAAAUACUAACAGAGAAGUUUGUAUUGUGGAUGAAGGCUGAAACGGCACCGUUCGUCGAGGUCACAUGACCAUUUUUUUCAGACAGUUCUGCAUUGGUGGUUCAGUGGUAGAAUUCUCGCCUGCCACGCGGGAGGCCCGGGUUCGAUUCCCGGCCAAUGCAAUCUAGAUCUUUUAUCUAGAUUAUUAUCUAGUUUUAUGGUAAGCAAGCUGAAGAUUAGUGCAGUUGUCGUGUACUGAUCACUUUGACAUAUAUGACAAUAGACAUAUGGAAAUGCACAGAGUAGAUCAAAUUCUUUUUUUUUUUUUUUUUUAAGUAAGCAUAGAAUGCACAGGAAUCUUUCAGCUGAGAUUUGAUUCUUGGCCGAAGGAAUGUAAAUCCUUUUUUUCACCAAUAUAGUUUUAAUUAGAAGCGGUCUGAUUCUCUGAUUUAAUUGUGUAAUAAUCAAUCUAAUUUGACAGUGAAUCUCCGUCUGUGGUUCAAUAUGUUAUGGAAACACUUGCCCAUGCUUGUAUCGCUACUCCUCUGGAUUACUGUUGGAGCCAGAAUGGGUUUUGUUUAUUGUUAUUAUUUAUAGUUAUGAAAUAUUAGGAUAAGUGUUUUGCAUUUAUCAUAAUUUAAUUAAAUAAUAUUUUGUUGGUAUUUGGAUUUGCUUUGUGUACUGUUGAACAACCUGGAGGUGCGAAAUUGCGUUGGCCACGGCCCACUUCGUCAGGUGACUGCAGCACCUGACCUCGUGAAGGCAAUUAAAGCAGUCUGGACGCGUCACUCCAGAUACAAGUUGGCAGGCAUGCAAGCCAAAAGGUUUUUU